UACGUAGGGUGCAAGCGUUAAUCGGAAUUACUGGGCGUAAAGCGCGCGUAGGCGGGAGGCCAAGUCCGCUGUGAAAUCGCCCGGCUCAACUGGGCGCGGUCGGUGGAAACUGGUCACCUGGAGGACGGUAGAGGCGAGUGGAAUUCCCGGUGUAGUGGUGAAAUGCGUAGAGAUCGGGAGGAACACCAGUGGCGAAGGCGGCUCGCUGGGCCGGCCCUGACGCUGAGGCGCGAAGGCGUGGGGAGCGAACGGG
rnacentral:rRNA from 1 species